rnacentral:rRNA from 1 species
GAUGAACGCUGGCGGCGUGCUUAACACAUGCAAGUCGAACGAAGCAUAUGGACGGAAGUUUUCGGAUGGAAGACCAUAUGACUGAGUGGCGGACGGGUGAGUAACGCGUGGGUAACCUGCCUCAUACAGGGGGAUAACAGUGAGAAAUUGCUACUAAUACCGCAUAAGCGCACAGGACCGCAUGGUCCGGUGUGAAAAACUCCGGUGGUAUGAGAUGGACCCGCGUCUGAUUAGCUAGUUGGUAAGGUAAGGGCUUACCAAGGCGACGAUCAGUAGCCGGCCUGAGAGGGCGACCAGCCACACUGGGACUGAGACACGGCCCAGACUCCUACGGGAGGCAGCAGUGGGGAAUAUUGCACAAUGGGGGAAACCCUGAUGCAGCGACGCCGCGUGAAGGAAGAAGUAUUUCGGUAUGUAAACUUCUAUCAGCAGGGAAGAAAAUGACGGUACCUGACCAAGAAGCCCCGGCUAAUUACGUGCCAGCAGCCGCCGCAGUAAGAC